rnacentral:lncRNA from 1 species
CUACAGACAUUAUUGAUAAAAUCAAUGGCUUGCUUCAUCAGGUCCUCAAGAGUUGUGAGUUAUGACUUUGAAUUCGGGGACACCAGGUGGCUCAGAAAAUCAGCCGCCAUGCUGUGAGCUGCCCACAUAGCAAGGAACUGAGAAAAAUGUCCAGCCAAUAGCCAGCAAAGAACUGAAUCCCUCAGUCCAACAACACUUGAGCAGCUGCAUCCUGCUAAUAACCAUGUGAGUGACCCUGGGAACAGAUUCCUCCCCCCAACCCCAAGUUGAACCUGAAGAUAACUGUAACAUUAUCAGAGACCCUGAACCAGGGGACUCAGCUAAGCUGCACC